UAAAGUACAGAACAAGACAAUAAUCUCUAAAAUCCAAAGCAUAUGAAAUGAAAUCUGGGAGCUAAGAAGGUGGAUCAGGGUGAGAUUAAGCUCCAGUUUGGCUUUGGCCCUUGAGUUCCAAAGGAAGGGAUUUGGUCCUACCUUAGUGAGGGAAAAUUCUUAUUGGUCCCUCUUUUCCUCUAAGUCUAAUUGGUUUCUAGUCCCUUCCCACUGGUGUGGAUAUCAGGAGGAUGUGGGAAGUGGUGUAACUUUGGGAGGUAAUCUUGAAGCUGCCACAAACGGUCUAUUUCACUGUCUUCACUCUGCUGGGACUAUGAUCAGCACUGUCCAUGGCCACUACUCCUCCACAGCGAGAUCUGAUGCCAGCUGACUCUGAGCCUUGGGGUUGGACCCUCCCUGCUGUCUCCCUGCUCUGGGCGGUCUGAUGGCCUCCUCCACCAUGAUGUCACCUUGCACCAAGAAGGCACUGAGCACAACUCACUAUUUGUGUUCUAGCCCUGAGACCCAUUUUAUUCAUCAGCCACCUGUGAGACUGUGUUUCUCUUUGUUCCUCAGUCUUCAGUCCCCCAACACCCUCCCACCUGAUUCAUCCUGAAACUCUCACAAACGACCAGCAUUGUCCCAGAACAGCCAGAGCUGUGAGGUAUCAAACUCACUCUAGAGCUGCUUUUAUAUCUCCCCUGAAACCCAUUCUCAUGAGUUAGACCUUGUAUGUUCACCUUCUUGGUCUUGUUUGCAAGUUGUCACCAGCAACUUGAGGCAUCCAUGAGAACCUGGUUUAUUAGUCAAUUUUGCAUUACUAUAACCAAUACCCAAGGUAGACCAACUUUAUAAAGUAUGGAGGUUUAUUUAGCUCAUGGCUUUUGAGAUUCAAGGGCAGAGUACUGGCAUUGUCUCAGCUCUGGUGAGGUCUGUCUUGUAAAAACUAAGGUCCUAAGAGGAAUAUUUUAAUCCCUUUCAAGGGCAAGCCCCAAACUGAUCUAAAAACCUGCCAUAAGAUUCUACCUCUUAAAGGUCUCACCUCUUAAUAUCUUCACACCAAAGGCCAAGCUUCCAACAUAUGAAUCUUUAGGAAACAAACAAACCAAACCAUGGUACCUGGUUACACUCAUCAUUGCUGCAUUGACUAGUGACGUUAUCAGAUAUUUUUUCAGCUUAUUGGUUUCCAUGGCCCAUUGGCAGCCAUAUACAACCCCAGGUAUAAUCUCCCCAGUGAGGAUAUCAUUGUGCCCCUUUCCUCUCCAACUCUCCUGGAAUGAAGAGAUGCUCACUGACUCAAGCUCAGCUCAGAAAGAUGAUUUCUGUAUCCUUAUGUGUGGGGUUUGCAUGAUUUCCCUCUCUAUCCCCAUCUGUAUACAGAGACCCCUGCAGUUCUAAUGCCAGAGUCCUAGAUGUGGCCCUCAACUGUUCUCCCCAGUAGGGAUGCUCAGAGUCUUCUAUAAGGCUGGGGCCAUCCUUAGAACAUCCUGGAACAUCCCAGUCAAUGUGACCUCCUAGUCAAUGCUGACAUAUUAUCUUUCUGGGGGCAGGCUACAUAUUAGUAUUCCAACAAACUUAGAAGGAAAAUCUGCAAGCUCAGAACAAUUCCAAGUAAACAUAGCCCCUCUCUGCUAUGAGGUGUGGGGAAAAUUAGCUAGAAACUGGGUCCUUACAGCCCUGGGCAUGAUUCCCAGCUCUCCAGUUGACUAGGUCUCUGACUUAAGCAAGACAUUUCUGCUCUUUGAGCCCAUUCUUCAAUUGUGAAAUGGGGGAAAGGGGUACCUCACCCAUGAAGUUUGGAUGACAAUUAAAUGAGACCAUGUAUAUAUAGAGUUUAACAUCCUGCUUCACCCAUGACAGCCUCAACAAAGAUUAAUUAGUUCCCUUCCUUCUAGAAUGUCUCCAGUCUCAAACUCAAUUCAUAUAUUGUCAUCAUGGGAAUACAUAAUUUUUUCUGCUUUUUUUCCUGGUAUUUUUCUCUACAUACACCCUUCCUUAUUUGAUUUAUCUUUUUUUCAUGGUGAAUAUUCCAUUAGAAAAAUAGACCAUAAACAUUUGUUUAAUCAUCUCCCUAUUAAGAGAAAAUUUAAUAGUUUUAGGUUUCUAGUUGAGCAUACACUGCUUUCUUAUUCUGUGCAGUUGUUUCUGCAAUAUUAAAUUCUCCAGGGUGGCAUUACUGGGUUAUAGGGUAGGCACAUCUUUUGGCUCUUAUUCAAUGUUGCUACACCCCCUGUAGAACAUCAAGCUGAUUUAUGUGUCCCUAGCAAUCUUUAAGGUCUAUUCCCUUUUGGUAUUGCUGAUUUUUCAUUGAUUACUCCUCCUACUCCCACCCCAAUUUUUGGCUAAUGUCAUGUAAGGUUAAGGAUGAAAAGUCAUGGAAGUUUUUUGUCUUACUUAUUUUGCUACAUUACUAGGUGUCCAGUGGUAUCUCAGGAAGUUUAUAAUUUUUUAUUGAUGAGGGUAAUCUUUUCUGAUGUGUUUGUUAGUUUAUUAAUAGUAUUUGCUUAGAUGUUGCUCCUCUCUGUGGGUACCAACUUUUGAACUUGUAUUGGUUCCUUAUACACUUUGGAUAGCAUAAAUUGGACAUCUUCAACACAUAUAUUCUAUAUCCCAUUAAGUUUAAUUAAUCUAAUUUAAGUUUUAUUCCAUGUUCUUCUUUGGAAGUCUUCAUUUUUAUAUAGUUCGUCUUAUGUACUCUGCUUCAGUAAUUAAGAAUUCAUAGUGGGGAGAAACAGGCAACAGCUUGUUCCCCCAGCUGCAUAUGACAUUGCUUUCUUAAAGGGGUGACUGAAAUCUGUUCCUGCCCCCUCCACCAUGUUGGCUACAAGGCCCCAUCUCACAUUGGUCUGUUCUCUGUCCCAGGUCUGCCAUGUGAAUCUGGAAGGGCAGCCGUUCUACUCCAAGAAGGACAAGCCCCUGUGCAAGAAGCACGCACAUGCCAUCAAUGUGUAGGGAGCCAAGGGCGUCUGGUGCAGACGAGGCCCCAGGCUGCUCCUGCUGCUGACAACGAAGGAUUCGAGGAGGCUGAUAUUUCUUUUGGGGGGAAAAGGGGGAAGAGAGGAAGCAAUUGAGCUCUUUUGAAGUAUAAUUUUAGUCUUUUCUUCUGUACACAUAUCGUGUAUUUGCAUAGUUCAGACUAGAAGCCAAAUGAAGAUUCUAAACCAAGCUAGUAAUUAAUCCAAGACUGGAAUUGCACUUCAAACGUUUAAGACAGGAUUCCAAGAACUCAAAAGUGAAAAAUGAAAAGCAGCUUUCCCAAAGUGAUACACCUCCCUGCUGUCAUCAGAGCAGGGACAGAGCUCAGAGCAGUCAUGGAGAAUCCGAAGCAUUCUGUGUUCUGUAGAGCUCCUCUGGCAAACAAAACGAAGUGCCAAACAGUGCUUGCUGCAGGGUAUUUUUAGAGCCAUAACUGAGAGCUUGUUAGCUAAGACCAAUUGGGCUUUCCUCGCCAAAAAAGGAAGUGUUAUUCCAUUACUAGCGUCAUGGAGCUACCUCUGCACAUCAGACUUCAGGCCAUGAACAAACUUGAAAUGUCUAAAAGGAGCCCAGAUGUCAGAAGAGGUGUCUUCUGGGAGCCACUGGGCGGUUGACAAGGCUCCAGGAAGAGCUCUGGUUCAUGCUGCUAACAGCCAAGGAAGGAUGGGCCCUUCAGCUUCCCUCUUUCAGUUUGAAAUAUCCCAUGUCCCUGGAAGGCUUAGCUCCUUUUUGAAUUGUGAAGGAGAAGUGGAAUUGGGUUUUUCCAGUUUAGCUUUGUAGUGUAUGAGAGGAGAGUUUAAAAGAUUCUGGGUUGCGUUGGACCCUUGUUUUGCUUUAAGAGAUUCCUAAGCAUGAGUGUCCUCUGCAUGUAUUUCACUCCCUACCUGCAACUGCUCACUUAUAAUGUCUUCCUCAGCACCCCUACCCCCCAAACAGGCUCCAUGGCCUGUGGAAAGAAAAGACAGUGUCUGACACAGGAUGGCAGAACAGGCUAACACGCCCAAACUGUGGGUGGGGAAGAGGAACCUUACUUUCUGCCAACCUCAGUAAGAACGCAUGAGCUGGCAGGAUCUUCAGGUCUGCACCAUCCUUUUCAUACAUAUAUUCCUUUAAAUGCAGCACACUGAUUAUGUACAGUCAUCUUGAUGGCUGGAAGGAAAAGAAGGAUGUUUUGCUGUUUUGGCCAAUAUUUUCAGAAUGUAUAAGGUGUAUUGAUCUAGCAGUUAUUUAAGUAUUUAAUGGAAUAGACUUGAGCCUUUAAUUUCUUUGCAAUAUAGGUGAUAGUUGGAGUUAAGUAAUCAUUACUUAAAGCUGUUUGGCAAUAAAAUGAGAAGCUUUAUUUCUGAGGUUGGAGACCAAAUGCUCUCUUUCCUUUUUAGGAAACACUAUUAAGAUGUUCAUAGAAUAUGGCAUUGAAGCAAGCAGUUUGCAUGGAUGUUUUGGAUUGGAGCACAAUAUUUAGGCAUUUUUCCUAUUCUCUGAUAAUGUCUCCUCACUCUUGUGUUGAAUUUUCUCUUUGCACGUUUGAAAUGUUUUACAGGAAUACAUUAGGACUUUUUUUCUGCUGAGAACUUCCAGGGGACUGCCGUUCUACCAGAGUGUGUCUCUUCUCCCCGAGGGACAAUGAAACAGCUGGCCAUGUCCCUAGCGGAAGCCCAUACUUUGUCCAAGUGCAAGGCCAUCGGCCCUUCCUGGCACCAUUAGGGAGGAGCAUAAAUGUGCUCCUACCAGAGGGCACUUUUUUUAUUUUGAUGCAGUAAAGAAAGUAAACACAAAGCACCAAGGAGAGUAAAUUUUGCUGGAACAGCCUGGAAAUUUUGCAUGAGAUGCAAACAAGUACCUUGGAGUAUUCUGUUAUUCUUGGAAAGUUCAAAUAUACAGGGACAAGAAGCUUGCUACUACAUAGAAAGGCUCUAAGCAGGGUUUUUGUCCAGAAAAUCAUCUACUAAGUGAUCAGCAACUGUUCUGGAGGAAAGAAAAACAUUUUAGAGUUUCUAAAAUCUCUUUUUAAAGGUUUUAUGCAAGUGUUCAUUAAAAAAUGUGUGAUCAACCAGGUGUGGUGGUACAUGCCUGUAAUCCCAGCUACCUGGGAAGCUGAGGCAAGAGAAUCAUAAGUUUAAGGCUAACCUGGGCAAUUUAGACCCUGUAUUAAAAUAAAAAAUUAAAGGGUUGGGGAUUUAGCUCAGUGACAGAGUGCUCCUGGAUUCAAUCCCCAGUACUAGAGGGGAAAAAAAGAAAAAAGGGAAAUAUGGAAAUAUCUUAAAGGACAGUUUUACCUUAGUCCUCUAUUGAAAAAUUUCCCCCACAUUUCAGAGCUCAGGAUCCUGAGACUCUUAUUUGCCAAAAAAAUAAGCAAACAAGCAAUAAAACGUUUUUAAGGGUUGAGGGAUAUAGCCCAGUGAUAGAGUGCUUUGCUAGCAUGUGCCAGGCCCUGGGUUUGAUGCUCAGCACUGCAAAACAAAACCAAAAACCAAACACAACCACCACCAAAACAAACAAACAAACAAAACAAACAAACCUUAAAGAUAGCAGGAAAAGGAGGUAGUGUUGAGUGUGGUUCACCUGUUUUCUGCGAGUCUGGCGUAGUGUCAAGAUUAAGACGGUGUAGUUCAAGUUAAUAUCAUGGGUGUCCUACAACACCAGACAUAACUUUUAAUAGUUCAUGGUAAGGAGCACACUGAAUCUAUAGUUCUUGAUUGCUUUAUAUGACAUUAAUUUAACACUGAUAAACAUUAACUUUUUGUAAAGGAGUGACUUUGUUCUGCAGUGUUUGUGUUAGGAAUCUAGCUUUUAUAAUGUUAACUUUUCAACGUAUGAUACCUUUCCUAUUUUUUGUGUGUGUUUUCUUUCCCUGGGAGUGGGCGCGGGUAAGAUUUCAGAAGUGGAAUGUAACAUGUUAGAGGUGUGCACAAAACUAUUUUGCAUGGUUUUUGUUCAUUUGGUAUUUUUUUGUUUUUGUUUUUUGGCCCGUGUGAAUUCUACUUUUUAGUAAAAUAAAACUCAAAAAAGGAUGUGCAAAUAACAUAUUUUUCUGUGUAUAGUUUUUUCAUGUGACACCAAAAGUAGUUUACUUCUAGAUGGCCAUAAAUAACAGUCUGAGACAAAACUAAGCUUCCUAAGAACAAGAAAUAUAGUUCACUUCUUCUAUUGCUCAAUAGAAGUUUAAUCAUCUUAUUUUAACAGAAAGAUUUAUAUGUAAUACAAACAUCUUGCAUAAAGGAAUUUACCAGGUAUAUAGUAAGCUAAAGACUAAGCCUUGCUUUGUAUUUUCACCAAGGUUUGUUUAGUUACUUGGUAGCCAAAUAUUUCAAAUUCAUUUAUUUUUUAUUCUGCUCUAAAUGUCUUUAUAGCUAGAAAUGUUGCUAUAUUUCGUCCCAUUUUGUUUGUCUUCAAAUAAAGUCAGAGUAAAAUCCUCAUAACAUUAAAAAAAAUAAUGAAAACCCUUCUGAAGUACCAUGCUUAACAAAACCAAUUCAUUCUUUUUUAAGAUACUCUUUCUUAAGCAUUUCAUAAGACUACAUCACAUACUACCAGAGAAAUGAAAAGUUGUGCUGCAGUUGUGUACAAUCACUCAAAAUGCAUUCUGCUGUCAUACAUA
rnacentral:lncRNA from 1 species